rnacentral:rRNA from 1 species
GCAAGGGGUGAGUAGAGUGGCAAACGGGUGAGUAACACGUGGGUGACCUGCCUUCGAGUGGGGGAUAACGUCCCGAAAGGGACGCUAAUACCGCAUGACAUCCUCUCUUUGAACAGAGGGACAUCAAAGCCUGGGACCGCAAGGCCAGGCGCUCGGAGAGGGGCCCGCGCCCGAUUAGCUAGUUGGUGAGGUAACGGCUCACCAAGGCGACGAUCGGUAUCCGGCCUAAGAGGGCGGACGGACACACUGGGACUGAGACACGGCCCAGACUCCUACGGGAGGCAGCAGUGGGGAAUUGUUCGCAAUGGGCGCAAGCCUGACGACGCAACGCCGCGUGGAGGACGAAGAUCUUCGGGUCGUAAACUCCUGUCGAGUGGGACGAAUGGCCCGCGGGUAAAUAAUCCGCGGGAGUGACGGUACCACUAAAGGAAGCCCCGGCUAACUCCGUGCCAGCAGCCGCGGUAAUACGGGGGGGGCAAGCGUUGUUCGGAAUUACUGGGCGUAAAGGGCCCGUAGGCGGCCAACUAAGUCAGACGUGAAAUCCCUCGGCUUAACCGGGGAACUGCGUCUGAUACUGGAUGGCUUGAAUCCGGGAGAGGGAUGCGGAAUUCCAGGUGUAGCGGUGAAAUGCGUAGAUAUCUGGAGGAACACCGGGUGGCGAAGGCGGCAUCCUGGACCGGUAUGACGCUGAGUGAGCGAAAGCCAGGGGAGCAAACGGGAUUAGAUACCCCGGUAGUCUGGCCUA